rnacentral:pre_miRNA from 1 species
AGGAACAAACAGUGGCGGCGGCCAGCUCUGGAGCCCUGGAGUCAGCUCCCGCAGUAACUCAGAGCUCUAAGCCUGCAGGGGCCUGGAGGCUCCCGGGCGGG